rnacentral:lncRNA from 1 species
AACACGGAAAUCGUAUUCUAUUGAUUACGGGUAGGAAAAAGUCAAAUUUGAAAAAAUGAAUGGAACCAAAUAUGAUUUUCUUGAUCCAUUUCUAGAAGCAUAAAGUUGGGGAUUGAAUAGUUUAAAAAGAGAUAGACAAAGGUUUAAAGGUUUCAGAUGUAAGGUUUUAACUCAUAGGAGAAGUCGUGCUCAUUCACAUGGAGUGAAGGAAGCAUAAAGGAGGGAAGCAGAGAAGGAUGGAUUCAAAAGAAAGACUUUGUUUGCAAUGCGAACGGUAAUUUUCUAAUGAGCGUUAGUGUACUGUUUCAUAAAUUGCUAAUGCGAUUACAAAAAUCCGAUUGUUCGUCUGUAACACAAAUACAAGAGUGAAAAAACAGAAAAGGACGGAAGAUUGCGGUCUAUCAGAUAGAAACAUUGCUUACCAAACAAGCAAGCCAAAGAAACAGGACAAACAAAUUUAUCGAGUUUAACAUCAACAUCGCAAGCUAGCGCAAUCCAAGUCAUUGAUUUGUCUAUUGUAGUGUGCGAUGAAGAACAACUGCCGUCAACCUUGGGUUUUAUCAACAAUGAAUCGGCUUUUCUUAUCAUGGCACGAGAUGAAGGAGGAAAAGAUGGCUUUAUGUAUGGAAGAAAGGGAGAAGAAAAGAAAGAGAAAAUAAAAAAUAAAUACAGAAAAAAAGAGAUUCCAAGGUCCAGGUCGUAAUGAAGCAAAUUGCCAGUCAGUCAGCCACUCUAUUGUAAAUACCUAAAUUCCAUCCAAAUGAUUGACAUCGGCAAUGGUGGAUUGUGGAGAAGAAAAUUUUUUUUUUUAACCCCUUUGGAUCCAGCUGGAUAAAGAUGGUUGGUAUGGAAAAGUAAAUGUGAAGGAAAAGAGGAAAACACUAGCAAACAAAAGAAGGUAAAGGGAAGCUGGCAAUGUGGCAAAGUAUAGAAAGGCAAAGUAAGACGAGGCUUGUACAGUACAUUCAUCAUCCGUGUGUGUCCAGCGUAUUUUUGUUUCAUUUCAUCAGGUGUUUUUUUUUUUUUUUAAUUCUUUAGAAAUUAAAGGAACCUACUUAAACCAAGGUACGGUUACACUACGCAAAUCAGUGUAACGCAAGGGUCGGGCGAUCUUUUCACCUCCCUGUCUAUAAAACACAUUGUCGAGCUUGGUCUUUCGCUACGAUAACCCGUAUCAACGGCAUUUGAAAGCGAGUGCCUUAUCCAUGAUAGACAUGGAUAUGUUACAAUGCUCUAUAGCGAGAUGGAUGGAAAGUGUCCAGUAUUAGGGAAAGAGGGAAAGAGCAAAAGAACAAGGCAGCCGAAGUAGAGUAAAAAAAAAUCCCUCGAUUUAGGCAGAAAAGGUGCCGCGGGAAGUAAGACAGACAAUGAGAUUAAUCGGUGAAACAAAGCAACCAAAGAGAGAGAGAGAGAAAGAGAAAGAGAGAGCAGAAAAAGAGCCGAAAGAGAAUGGCAAAAAUGUAUUGAAAUAGCAGUGGAAGAUGUGAAAAGAUAAAAGGCGUCGAGAAUGGAUGAAUGGAUGGAUGGAUGGGUUGAAUUGGAUAGGAUUGGAUAGGAUAGGAUAGGAAAAAAAAUUUAUUUUUGGAGAAAUUAUUUU